rnacentral:lncRNA from 1 species
CGCGCACGCCGCGAGCCGCUGGCGCCCGGGCUCCGCUCGAAUCCCAUGCAACAGCCAGGAUGUGAAGCGGGGCAGAGCCGGGGGAGCCCAGCCCAGCCAGCCUCCAGAAUGGGGACACGUCUUGCUGCGGCACGGGGAUUAAACGGUGUCACGUGGAUAAGCCCUCGACGGCCGGUUGCACGAACAGGGGCUCGGCGCCUGUGCCCUCCUACCCGUCAUCUCCAUGAGGAGAAGUUGGAGGGAGGAGCGGUGGGGAGUGGCUGCUGAGAGCCAGGGGUCCUGAGGAUGGAGCUCAGGGGGCCCUGGAACAGUCCAUGAGGUUUCCUGUCUUCCGGGGAGAAGGUAAGAAGCCCAAAGGCCAGAGACCC